rnacentral:lncRNA from 1 species
CUAAUAGCUUUUAAAGUUUCAUUUUUUAUGUUUGGUGCCAGAAUUAAGAAGUGGCCCUUUCUCCGUAUAAAGCAAAUGGAGUUUUAUAUGCUAGAUUCAAUGUUGUGAACUGGGAAAAACAUAUCUGGUUUUUGACAAGUAGAAAACCCUGUUUGCAGCCAGCAGGGUCUGUGAUUUGCCCAUAGUAGGUACUUAAUAAAUAUUGUUGACUUGAUUUGGCUUAGGUUUGUCACUGGAAAAUGUAAAAGCCAAUGCACAUUUAUAGAUUGAUUUAAAUUUUGGGGAGCAUUUUUGCUAUGCUAUGUACAUUUAGAGAAAUAAUGGCUAUUUUUGUCUAACAGGAAUUGUAGGCAUGCGUAAGUUGAAUGUGCAAGAUGGACCUCUGAGGAGACAAGAACCAUUAGAAACUUUUGCAUACUAUAUUAUCUGAAUAUUCAUAAGUAAAUGCAAAUAGAAGAGCAAUUUCUGUCAAAUUGGGACAUUUAAACAAAUCAAGUGUUAACUUUGUUACUAAAUUUUUAAAAUGCGUUUUUUGAUAUUUACCUAAAUG